rnacentral:rRNA from 1 species
AGCUCCAAUAGCGUAUACUAAUGUUGUUGCAGUUAAAAGCUCGUAGUCGGAUUUCAGUUUGAUUUAGACUCCCCUUAUGGAGAAGUCUUGAUCAUUCUUCCUUGACAGAAACAAUCAUGUACUUCAUUGGAUGUGAUCUGGGACUGUCUCUUUUACUUUGAGAAAAUUAGAGUGUUCAAAGCAAGUUAUCGCCUGAAUAUUACUCUUGGAAUAAUACUAUAGGACUUUGGUUCUAAGUUGUUGGUGUUCAGAGCCAGAGUAAUGAUUGAUAGGGACAGUUGGGGUCAUUAGUACUGCAAAGCGAGAGGUGAAAUUCUUGGACCUUUGUAUGACUUACAACAGCGAAAGCAUUUGACUAGGAUGUUCCCG